rnacentral:rRNA from 1 species
CAGUCGCCGCGGUAAUACGUAGGUGGCAAGCGUUGUCCGGAAUUAUUGGGCGUAAAGGGCUCGCAGGCGGUUUCUUAAGUCUGAUGUGAAAGCCCCCGGCUCAACCGGGGAGGGUCAUUGGAAACUGGGAAACCUGAGUGCAGAAGAGGAGAGUGGAAUUCCACGUGUAGCGGUGAAAUGCGUAGAGAUGUGGAGGAACACCAGUGGCGAAGGCGACUCUCUGGUCUGUAACUGACGCUGAGGAGCGAAAGCGUGGGGAGCGAACAGGAUUAGAUACCCGGGUAGUCCCUGUCUCUUAUAC